rnacentral:rRNA from 1 species
GAUGAACGCUGGCGGCGUGCUUAACACAUGCAAGUCGAACGGAACUACUCCAAUGAGAGUCUUCGGAAAGGAUUUGGUUUAGUUUAGUGGCGGACGGGUGAGUAACGCGUGGGUAACCUGCCCUAUACAGGGGGAUAACAGUUGGAAACGACUGUUAAUACCGCAUAAGCGCACAGGAGCGCAUGCCCCGGUGUGAAAAACUCCGGUGGUAUAGGAUGGACCCGCGUCUGAUUAGCUGGUUGGCGGGGUAACGGCCCACCAAGGCGACGAUCAGUAGCCGGCCUGAGAGGGUGAACGGCCACAUUGGGACUGAGACACGGCCCAAACUCCUACGGGAGGCAGCAGUGGGGAAUAUUGCACAAUGGGGGAAACCCUGAUGCAGCGACGCCGCGUGAGCGAAGAAGUAUCUCGGUAUGUAAAGCUCUAUCAGCAGGGAAGAAAAUGACGGUACCUGACUAAGAAGCCCCGGCUAACUACGUG